rnacentral:rRNA from 1 species
UACGGAGGGUGCGAGCGUUAAUCGGAAUUACUGGGCGUAAAGGGUGCGUAGGUGGUUGAGUAAGUUAUCUGUGAAAUACCUGGGCUCAACCUGGGCAGGUCAGAUAAUACUGUUUGACUCGAGUAUGGGAGAGGGUAGUGGAAUUUCCGGUGUAGCGGUGAAAUGCGUAGAGAUCGGAAGGAACACCAGUGGCGAAGGCGGGUACCUGGCCUAAUACUGACACUGAGGCACGAAAGCGUGGGGAGCAAACAGG